UUACGACCAUAUCACAUUGAAACACCGGUCCUUGUACGAUUCCCCACGUUAAGCAACGUCGAGCCUAGUCAGUACCUAGAUGGGUGACCGCUUGGGAAUAU